AUGGUUUUUGAUAGGAUAGAUGUGUGGGUUAAGAUAUCUGAUCUCCCACCUGGCAAGAGGACGGAGGCUUUCGGGAAGGCGUUAGGCAACUGGCUUGGUGAAGUGGUCAAGGUGGAUGUGGACAAGGAUGGGAUAGCUAGAGGGAGCCAACUACGGGUCAGAGCAAGGAUCAUGCUAUUUGAGCCGUUGGUGCGAGGGUUUCUGCUCAAAAACUCUCAGGAGGACAAAGUGGGUACUUGGUACGAUUUUCACUAUGAGAAGAUCCCUCACUUUUGCUUUGAGUGUGGGCGAUUGGUACAUGAACACGGUCGAUGUGAUCCUCCUGUUGAUAAGGCUGCACAAUGGGGGGCUGGCUUAGAGCAUCACCGGGAAGGAGCACUGGCUCCAAGACCGAUGUGA
rnacentral:rRNA from 1 species